rnacentral:rRNA from 1 species
CCCACCAAGGCGACGAUCCGUAGCGGGUCUGAGAGGAUGAUCCGCCACACUGGGACUGAGACACGGCCCAGACUCCUACGGGAGGCAGCAGUGGGGAAUUUUGGACAAUGGGCGCAAGCCUGAUCCAGCCAUGCCGCGUGAGUGAAGAAGGCCUUCGGGUUGUAAAGCUCUUUCGGCCGGGAAGAAAUCGUGUUCUCUAACAUAGGACAUGGAUGACGGUACCGGACUAAGAAGCACCGGCUAACUACGUGCCAGCAGCCGCGGUAAUACGUAGGGUGCGAGCGUUAAUCGGAAUUACUGGGCGUAAAGCGUGCGCAGGCGGUUUGCUAAGACAGGUGUGAAAAUCCCCGGGGCUUAACCUGGGAACUGCGCUUGUGACUGGCAGGCUAGAGUACGGCAGAGGGGGGUGGAAUUCCUGGUGUAGCAGUGAAAUGCGUAGAGAUCAGGAGGAACACCGAUGGCGAAGGCAGCCCCCUGGGCCUGUACUGACGCUCAUGCACGAAAGCGUGGGGAGC